ACUGCUCCUCGUCCUCCUCGCCGUCGUCAUCGUCGAUGAAUUGCUUUCCGUUCCAGAAGAGCUACCAGCCUUUGGUGAAGGUAGAGGAGCACAAUUUCUUUAGCAGUGAGGAGGCCUGUAGCUUCUUCUCCGAUGAGCAAGCACCUUCACUUCAGUGGUACUGUCCUGAUCAGUGGAGCUAAAGCAUCAACAAUACAAUCCAUGAAAGUGGAGUUGUGUAUAAAUUAAUGUACUGUGAUCUCCGUUGUGCAAAAGUGGAAGUUGGAGAGCAACUGCAGGAUGAAGGCAAGGGAGAGGGGAGAGAGAGAGAGGAUAGAGACAGAGAGAGAGAGAGAGACAGACAGACAGACAGAAAGAGGAAACCAAGGUAUUUCCUUGCCAAACCGUGCGGGAAUAUGAUUGUGUCGUAAUUAAAAUUUCAGCUGUAAAAAUGAAUCCUCGGGAUAAAACUUUAGGAGAUUGAAUUUCCUGUAAUGGAGAAAAUAAUCAUUGUGCCUUACUUUUUCUCUUCCAUCCAUGCUCUUCGCUUUUUCAAUUUAAAAGUUCGGUGGACAACUUAUUUCUUUUGCCAUGGACCAUGGCACUGCCAUAAAAAAAAAGUGCUAUAGAUUUGUAUAAAUUAAAAUAUAUGGUGGAGAAGCGGCGAUGAUGCGAUGGUGGUGCUUUUGUAAUGAUAAUGGUGAGAGGGUAUGGUGGUUGUGCAAAUAUAUCGGGGUGUGGUGGUUGGGGGUGUAGAUGUAGUAAUGGUGGAAGGGUUGAUAUCAGCAACGGUGGCAACGGUUGUGGUGGGGGUUGCAACAAUGGUGGUUGUGAUUGCGGUGGUGAUGGUGGUGUAAGGUUAGUGGUUGCAAUGAGUAGGUGGUGGUCAUUUUGCGAGAGAAAAUAUGUGUGGGAAGGAUAUAAAAUGUCACUUUCAAAAACAAAUGAGUGUACUACAAAAAAAUAAAUAUUCAUUAGAACUCAGCUUCGCCUUUUAUGGAAGGGCAACAACUCACAAUGAAUCAAACAGAUAAUAGGUAAUUCUCAGUUUUCAAGUUCUUGGUUUUCAGUCAAGUUUUAUUUCUCAUACUCGUACCUAAAGUGAUAAUUUUGAAGCCCUUUCAUACAUCCGUAAACAGCCCUGCGCCUAGAAUUGGAGGGUGCGCUCCCAGUUCCGUAUCAAGUUCUGUAACUGGGUCGUCAAUGCCCGAUUCGCCAUUAUUAUGCAGAUUCCUCUGUCUCAUCUGUGUUUUGAGGACAGUGAUGCUUAGGUUUUAGGACAUGGUUCUGGGUUGCGGCUUUGGUGGCAAAUUUGGUUCCUGUUGUGGCUCCGCUGGUGGAUUCGGUAAAGCUGACGAGGCCGAAGAGUGUGAGGGCCUGAGGAUUGGAGGGUCUAGGUCACCAUCAGUAGGGUUUAGAGAGAUAAAUUGGGUGAUGAUUGCAAUUUUGAUUUUUGCAUAUUAAAACUGGGUGAUAAUUCUCAUGAAAAAAAAAAAACCUAAAACCCCUCCUCCCGCCUCCAAACCCAUCUCCGCCACCAUCGUCGUCGGCGACAAACCUUCCCGAAGCCCCUUUCCUACCUUGACGCCGUUGGAGCGGCGACGUACGUGUGGGCGGCGGGGCUGUGGUAGGGUUUCUAAGGAAGUCUGGGAUGCGUUUAUUAGGUGCGGG
rnacentral:lncRNA from 1 species